rnacentral:rRNA from 1 species
AGCUCCUACGGGACGCAGCAGUGGGGGGUAUUGCACAAUGGGGGAAACCCUGAUGCAGCGACGCCGCGUGGGUGAAGAAGCGCCUCGGCGCGCAAAGCCCUGUCAGCAGGGAAGAAAAUGACGGUACCUGAAGAAGAAGCCCCGGCUAACUACGUGCCAGCAGCCGCGGUAAUACGUAGGGGGCAAGCGUUAUCCGGAUUUACUGGGUGUAAAGGGGGCGCAGACGGCGAUGCAAGCCAGGAGUGAAAGCCCGGGUCCCA